UACAGAGGGUGCGAGCGUUAAUCGGAAUUACUGGGCGUAAAGCGUGCGUAGACGGCUAUCUAAGUCGGGUGUGAAAGCCCCGGGCUCAACCUGGGAAUUGCAUUCGAGACUGAAUAGCUAGGGUACGGUAGAGGGAAGUGGAAUUUCCGGUGUAGCGGUGAAAUGCGUAGAUAUCGGGAGGAACACCUGAGGCGAAGGCGGGCUACUGGGCUGAUACUGACGCUGAGGCGCGAAAGCUAGGGGAGCGAACGGG
rnacentral:rRNA from 1 species